CCUGCGCCUGCCGGCGACCGGCGCACGGGUGAGUAACACGUAUGGAACCUGCCCGCCACAGGGGGAUAACUCGGGGAAACCCGGCCUAAUACCCCAUGCCGCCCGGACCGGGCAUCCGGUCCGGGCGAAAGGAGGAAUCCGGUGGCGGCUGGGCAUGCGGCGCAUUAGCUUGACGGCGGGGUAACGGCCCACCGUGGCGACGAUGCGUAGGGGUUCUGAGAGGAAGGCCCCCCACACUGGGACUGAGACACGGCCCAGACUCCUACGGAAGGCAGCAG
rnacentral:rRNA from 1 species